UACGAAGGGGGCUAGCGUUGCUCGGAAUCACUGGGCGUAAAGGGUGCGUAGGCGGGUUUUUAAGUCAGGGGUGAAAUCCUGGAGCUCAACUCCAGAACUGCCUUUGAUACUGAAGAUCUUGAGUCCGGGAGAGGUGAGUGGAACUGCGAGUGUAGAGGUGAAAUUCGUAGAUAUUCGCAAGAACACCAGUGGCGAAGGCGGCUCACUGGCCCGGUACUGACGCUGAGGCACGAAAGCUAGGGGAGCAAACAGG
rnacentral:rRNA from 1 species